UAGAGUUUGAUCCUGGCUCAGAGCGAACGCUGGCGGCAGGCUUAACACAUGCAAGUCGAACGGGCGUAGCAAUACGUCAGUGGCAGACGGGUGAGUAACGCGUGGGAACGUACCUUUUGGUUCGGAACAACACAGGGAAACUUGUGCUAAUACCGGAUAAGCCCUUACGGGGAAAGAUUUAUCGCCGAAAGAUCGGCCCGCGUCUGAUUAGCUAGUUGGUGAGGUAACGGCUCACCAAGGCGACGAUCAGUAGCUGGUCUGAGAGGAUGAUCAGCCACAUUGGGACUGAGACACGGCCCAAACUCCUACGGGAGGCAGCAGUGGGGAAUAUUGGACAAUGGGCGCAAGCCUGAUCCAGCCAUGCCGCGUGAGUGAUGAAGGCCCUAGGGUUGUAAAGCUCUUUUGUGCGGGAAGAUAAUGACGGUACCGCAAGAAUAAGCCCCGGCUAACUUCGUGCCAGCAGCCGCGGUAAU
rnacentral:rRNA from 1 species